GAAUCUUAGACAAUGGGGGAAACCCUGAUCUAGCCAUGCCGCGUGAGUGAUGAAGGCCUUAGGGUUGUACAGCUCUUUCAGCUGGGAAGAUAAUGCCGGUACCAGCAGAAGAAGCCCCGGCUAACUCCGUGCCAGCAGCCGCGGUAAUACGGAGGGGGCUAGCGUUGUUCGGAAGUACUGGGCGUAAAGCGCACGUAGGCGGACUGGAAAGUUGGGGGUGAAAUCCCGGGGCUCAACCUCGGAACUGCCUUCAAAACUAUCAGUCUGGAGUUCGAGAGAGGUGAGUGGAAUACCGAGUGUAGAGGUGAAAUUCGUAGAUAUUCGGUGGAACACCAGUGGCGAAGGCGGCUCACUGGCUCGAUACUGACGCUGAGGUGCGAAAGCGUGGGGAGCAAACAGG
rnacentral:rRNA from 1 species